GACGAACGCUGGCGGCGUGCCUAAUACAUGCAAGUUGAGCGAUGAAGAUUGGUGCUUGCCCCAAUUUGAAGAGCAGCGAACGGGUGAGUAACGCGUGGGGAAUCUGCCUUUGAGCGGGGGACAACAUUUGGAGACGAAUGCUAAUACCGCAUAACAACUUUAAACAUAAGUUUUAAGUUUGAAAGAUGCAAUUGCAUCACUCAAAGAUGAUCCCGCGUUGUAUUAGCUAGUUGGUGAGGUAAAGGCUCACCAAGGCGAUGAUACAUAGCCGACCUGAGAGGGUGAUCGGCCACAUUGGGACUGAGACACGGCCCAAACUCCUACGGGAGGCAGCAGUAGGGAAUCUUCGGCAAUGGACGAAAGUCUGACCGAGCAACGCCGCGUGAGUGAAGAAGGUUUUCGGAUCGUAAAACUCUGUUGGUAGAGAAGAACGUUGGUGAGAGUGGAAAGCUCAUCAAGUGACGGUAACUACCCAGAAAGGGACGGCUAACUACGUG
rnacentral:rRNA from 1 species